UGUUAAAAACUUUAUCUAUUUGUAUUGUUAAAAACUAGACAGUAAUACAUGACUUGCCACGCAUACCUCAUGCUGAUGUACAGUGACCAAUUUUUAACAAUUGAAAUGGAUGAAUUUUUAAUA
rnacentral:pre_miRNA from 1 species